rnacentral:lncRNA from 1 species
AGAAGCAAGAAGCUGUCUUCCCGCCCCCGCGUGCCUACAAUCAGCCCCAGUCUCCCUGGGAAACCGACGAGCGCACCUGAGCUGGGUUCUGAGCUCCAGCGUUUUGGGGCUAGAAGUUGCGGACUAGUAGCUGAGGCGGCACGGGAGUGUAGGCGCGCGGGGUCGUUGCCGGGGGCACAGAGUGAGAACAAGCAAGGGAGCCCUGCUGAAUUGCAGCUUAGGAAGCCCUGAAUCCUGGAGAUAUGUUCCUGACCCUUCCUUCUUGAAGGGACAGCUGUGUAACCAUUCAACCAUCUGGCCAUCAGUUUCCACAUCUGUGAAAUCAACUUCUGCCUCAUGGAGCCGUGAGUUCCCAAGUGAAGGCAGUGAGGGGCUGUGGUGUGAUCCAGGAGGCUGAGAAUUAUGCAGUGGGUGCUGUCACCUUGAAGACAUCAGCGUGAUCAGGCAGAUCAUCAUGGUACUGCAUUUCCUGGACACGAUCUUAAUUUUCUUAAUACCUCCACCGACAUUUCAAAUAGCGUCUCUAAUGCCCCAGAGACUUUUAUGCCCCUAAGGUAGUUUUCUUUCUUUUGUGAAGCAGAAGAAGGGAAAUUGUUAAAGGGAAUAUUUUAACUAAAUUUAUUUCCAUAAAACUAUCUUUGUCUUUAUAUCUCAUGGAAAGUGUUAGGUAGCCUCAGGAUUAUAUCUCCGUUGGAAAACUGUAGAUGUAAACCUUCUUGCUAUCUACAUACUUACAUAUUUUUCUGUUGUUAUUUACUUAUGAAUAGCAUUUUGAUUAUAGCAGAAAUAAAAUACAUUAAAUGACUAAGCUCAGAAAUAAGAAAAAAAGGUCAAUGGUGAUCAUUUAUUUGGAAACUAUGAUAUUUUAAUGAUAUUAAUGGUGUAAUUGACAUUUAGUUAAACAUAUUUCAUCGUAAGUAGAGCACUUUAACUCUUACGGUCCACUUAAAAUGUAAUCAUACGUUUAUGUAUUUCUAGUUAAUGUAUCAAACUCAACUGAGUAAUCAAUGUACAUCAUUUAUUUUGCUCCUAAGUUAAUACACUAAGUUAUGCUUUAAAAUUACUAAUUUGCUGCAAUAUCCAAUACUCUCUUUUAAGUCUUACGUCUGCAGAAAAGGAUAUAAACAUUUCAUGACACCAAACCCAAGUAUUUUUGAUGCCCUUGGCAGUGUCAGUUGAACAGACAGUGUCAUUUAAUGUUUGAGACAGCAUCUGAAUUCCUUUUAUUCUUAAAAUUCUAUUUUAAAAUGCAGUUUUUGGAAAGUUAAUGUGAAUAGAAAAAUUUCUAACAUUUUAUGUGCAUGUGUUUUGUUUGUUACAGGCUUAGCAUCUCAAAUCUGAAAAUUCGAAAUCUGAAAUGUUUCUAAAAUUCAACUCUUUUGAGUGCUGAUAUGACUUUCAAAGGAAAAGCUCAUUGGAGCAUUUCAGAUUUUGGAUUUUUGGAUUUGGGAUGUUUAACCAGGGUAAAAUAUAGAAUGCAAAUAUUCCAAAAUCUGAAUAAAAUUGAAAUCUGAAAUGCUUAUGGUUCCAAGCAUUUUGGAUAAGGGAUAAUUAAGCUGUAUAACUUAUAAAACUGAAUAUAACAAAAUUUCCCAACAUGUGGAAAAUGAUGUCUUUUUUCAAAAAUGUCAAUAGCAGAUACAUGGUACAGUAAGUUAGGGGAAAAAAUGAGGUUUCAUAUCUUCUAGUUUCCUAAUUAAAAGGAGCCCAUUCUGGGUUGGAAGAAAGUGUCAGUAAGAUCAUUUCUCCUAUUUGAAAAUCAUACAAAGCUUGUCAGAGUGACUCAGGCCAGGAGUGUAGCUGGGCGUGUAGCUAAAUGAUAUCUCCCCACAUCUAUAUAAUAAGCUGUUACCUGCUUUAAAAGGAAAAGCUCUCAGCAUGACUCUAAUGUUGCAUUUCUGGAAUACAGCUUGAAAAGCUCUUCUCAGGGUUGAACAGAGCAUGAAGGUAAUGGUUAUUAUCUACUCACAUUAAAAAAAAAAAAAAAGAAAGAAACCACCACAGAAAACUACUUACUGUCUUUAGGCUCUACUUUCAAAAGUGCCCUUUAUGAACGCUUUUACACUGUUGAUGGGAGUGUAAAUUAGUUCAACCAUUGUGGAAGACAGUGUGGUGAUUCCUCAAGGAUCUAGAAUCAGAAAUACCAUUUGACCCAGCAAUCCCAUUACUGGGUAUAUACCCAAAGGAUUAUAAAUCAUUCUAUUAUAAAGACACAUGCACACGUAUGUUUAUUGCAGCACUGUUCACAAUAGCAAAGACUUGGAACCAACCCAAAUGCCCAUCAAUGAUAGACUGGAUAAAGAAAUUGUGGCACAUACACACCAUGGAAUACUAUGCAGCCAUAAUAAAAGAUGAGUUCAUGUCCUUUGCAAGGACAUGGACAAAGCUGGAAACCAUCAUUCUCAGCAAACAAGAACAGAAAAUCAAACACUGCAUGUUCUCAGUCUAAGUGGGAGCUGAACAAUGAGAAAACAUGGACACAGAGAGGGGAACAUCACACACUGGGCCUGUUGGGGGGUAGGGGGCUAGGGGAGGGAUAGCAUUAGGAGAAAUACCUAAUGUAAAUGACAGGUUAAUGGGUGCAGCAAACCACCAUGGCAUGUGUAUACCUAUGUAACAAACCUGCAUGUUCUGCACAUGUAUCCCAGAACUUAAAGUAUAAAUAAAUAAAUGAAUAAAUAAAUAAAUUUUAAAAAGUG